UUUAUACCCAGUAAAAAGUAGCAAUCAACCCUCUGCCCUUCAGGAUCACUCUCUAGCCUUCAGUCCCAACCCAAAGAUGGGUCAGCCCAUAUCCAGGUUAGCUCUGGCUCACCUCCCAGGGCUCUCCUGGAAAAUGUGUGCUCUCAUCAUCAAGAGAGGUCCCACAUUUCCAACGCCAGCCAGCCUUUGCAGGACAACUCAAUCUUGACAAGUCAGAAUCAAGGGGUCUGUAAAGUCCUCCAUCCUUCAGACCUGGUGGCCACUGAGGGACAUGCAGUACCCCAGGAACCCUGAAGGGAGGAAGGUACUGGGUGCACCGGCGCCCUGGCUCAGUCCUUGGCCUCACCCACCUCCUCUUCUGGCAGAAAUCCCCGGCUUCCUGACUGAUGAAGAGUGUCGGCUCAUCAUCCAUCUGGCGCAGAUGAAGGGGUUACAGCGCAGCCAGAUCCUGCCUACUGAAGAGUAUGAAGAGGCAAUGAGCACUAUGCAGGUCAGCCAGCUGGACCUCUUCCGGCUGCUGGACCAGAACCGUGAUGGGCAUCUGCAGCUCCGUGAGGUUCUGGCCCAGACUCGCCUGGGAAAUGGAUGGUGGAUGACUCCAGAGAGCAUUCAGGAGAUGUACGCCGCGAUCAAGGCUGACCCUGAUGGUGACGGUGAGCUCACACCUCUGCACAGUCCUAUCCCCGUGAGCCUCCUGCCCACUCCCAGGUGCACAAUUUUGAAAACUUGGGCCCUUCCCCCACAGCCAGGCAGCCUCUCUGCACCCCUUUAUAGUGACCAGAGAUGGGGAGGCGAAGAUCCAGCCUUGCUUUUUACCCCUGGGAAGUAGGCAGGCAGCCAGGCCCCCUGUUCCCCUUGGUGAUGGUCUUGAGGGCAGUUCUUGGAGACCCUUUUGAUAACAUCAGGCAGAGUUGAGAGCCUGGGGACAGGAAGUAGGGCUGCUAGUUGGCAGAGAACAGAGUGGGUGGAGCAGGAGCAAGGCGACAGUGAGGCCAGCUAGAGCUUGGCUGUUUACCCUGCUCCAUCCAUCUCU
rnacentral:sRNA from 1 species